AGUCAAUAUAGGAGGGGCUGCCCUGCGCAGAUGGUGGGAAGGGUGACUCACCAGGACCAUUUCUGUCACAGUGCAUCUCACAGUCCGGCACAGAACUCUCCAGAAUGUGGACAGCUUGCCCAGGGAAGCGCAGCAUUGCACAGCAAUUUGUUCCCCUGUGUCCUGCGUUGGCUCGUUUCUGCCAACGUCGCCUGUGGAGUGUCUGGACAAGCCCUAGACGGGGAUAAACCACUGAAAAGAGGUGAUAUUCCACAUCAAACAAACCUCAGCUUGUAACUUGUUCUGCCAUCCUGGGAUGAAAAAGGAUUGGGUGUCCUCUCUGUCACAUUCCUCUUGAAUCUGUGUCAACCACCCGGGCAACUGAAGUAUGCUUGGCGUCCACAGGAACCAAUCGAGCUGCAACAGUGGCCUCCCGGCCGCGAGUCAACAAGCGUGUGAGCGUCUGGUGUAGCAUGUGCCUUCCAGGCUGGUCCUGGGCACGAUGGCGAGUUUCCCACCAAAAACUUGGAAAUUAGGAAAACUGCUACUGUAAGAGAUGAGACACAGUCUAUGGCCAUAGCAACCACCCGAUCUCGUCCAAUCUCGGAAGCUAAGCAGGGUUGGGCCUGGUUAGUACUUGGAUGGGAGAGAUGAGACACAGAUACGUCAUUUGAAAGACAAGGAACCACCAGGCUGGCAGUAAGUUCACUGAGUAAAUGGUUAGCCCUGGGCUGUCCAAUAUGGUGGCCACAUGUGGCGGUUUAAGUCAACAUUAGUUAAAAGACAAAAUAAAAUAAAAAAAUCAGUUCCCUUUCACUUGUCCCGUUUCAAGUGCUCAAGAGACCAUGUGGCCUGUGGCCGUUAGUUUAGACAGGGCAGACCAAGGGCAGUUCCAUCAUCAGAGAAGGCUCUGAUGUUCAGCGCUGGUCUGGAAAGGCCUCCGUGAAUCGGUCCCAGAGCUGGUCAGCUGACGGACCUGCAGGCAGUGGAGUCUCAAGUUAAACGCUGGCUGCAACGUUGCGUAUCUCUGGGUCCUGGGAGAAGUCAGAUGGCCCUUGAGGGGUUAAUGGAAGAGACUUCAGUAAACAGAUUAACAGUAAACAGACAAAGAUAGGGCUACACUGACCUAAGAGUGAACCAACAGAGCAGGUGAAGCAUCCAGAGCUUUCAUACAGCAGGGAGCCUCUGGGGGGAGGCCUGAGAGGAGAGGACGUCAUUGGGCCCCAUAGCCACUGCCAGAUUGAUGAUGGCCUUGCUGUGGGCAGUUUGGGGAAACACCGGGCUCUUUCUGCCCUUUUUCUGUCUUGCCAGUGCCUCCAGCUGGAAUCCGACUGGAAGCCUGCAGGCAUGAGAGCCCGGGGGGUCCAAGCAGGCUCGGGGGCAGAGAGGGGCAGAGAAGCAAGAGAAGGGAAAUGGGGGGCCAGGAGCAGGGCCAGCCCUCCCUCCAGCGCUGCCUGGGGCUGAGGGGAUUGGACCUGGCCCUGCAUGCUCCAGGCUUCAGGUGGGGUCCUAACCCCGAGAAGGAUGCUGGAGGGCUGUACCAUGCCACCAAUGGUGUGGUUUCCCGUGGGUCUGGCUACGGAGGAAAGACCGUCCACAGCCUGUGGUUCUCAUGCCUGUUUAUGGGGCAGCUUUUUUUCUUGAAUCUUUUUAAAAAUUCAUUAAUUUUUAACUGAAGGAUACUUGCUUGACAGUGUUGUGCUAGUUUCUACCAGAUAUCAACGUGAAUCAGCCAUAGGUUUGCUCAUGUCCUCUCCCACCGUGGGGCAACUUUCUCUCGCAGUGAAUGAACGUAUCUGCAGUUUGAAACACCUGGCUGAGUGUCUACGCAACAGCGGGGCCCCGUCCUCAGGCCAGGGAAAAUUUACCAAGUGACGGGCACUGCCCUGUGAAAGCUGUUGGGAAACUCCCCUGAGAAGGACCCAAAACAUCCCGUGGGCUUAAGGACAAACAUUUAAAUUCCUAAAAUAGCAUCUGCCCCACGGAACUGCUACGAGGGUUCCAACACGUGACUUACGCGAAGCACCUGGCAGCCCAAGGAACACAGAAGGGCCCUUGCGCACGUUCUCCUGAUAACACCCGGUGACCCUAUGACACCCGCCACGUUCUGGGCUUGUUCAAGGCUCCAGGGAUGGGGCAGGAGCUAAACGGACAACAUGUCUUGCCCUCCUCACGGGGCUUUCGCAAAGGAGAAGGAUGGUAGCAAUGUAGAUAAAUACACCAUAUGCUCUGAUAGACAGCAGCAGGUGCUGAGGGCAAAAAUAAUACAAGGAACAGAGAUCCGAGGGUGGGGGGCUUUUAUAGAGAGAUGGGGUGGCCAGGGAAGGCCUUCCUUGGACUGUGGCAUUGGGGGAAAGCCAAAGGAACGUGAAGGAACAGUCACAGAGAUGUCUAUGACAGUGGGGGAGCUUGUACGGGGCCCUGGCAGGGGGUUCCUGACACGCUGGGGAGUGGGGGAGGGUGUCAGAAUGAUGGGGGCAGGUGAGGGGCUGGGCGGAUCGUGGGGGGAGGUGGGUGGAAGAUCGCCUGGCCUUGCUGUGGAUUGGCGCUCGUGGCUUUGCCACGUGUCAGCUCUGAUUCACCCACCUGCACACACAGGACUGGCCUCCCUGUCUUUACUUUGUGCUCCCUCUGAUCUAAGAGACUUGCUCAGAGCACUCUGGGAGCUGGGCUCCUGUCGUGUGUGUGUGUGUGUGUAAUAUUUGUAGGUGUGUGCACAUGUGUGUAUUAACCUGCUUUGUCAGCAUAGUGCAUCACAUCAAGUUGAUACCCUAUGGAUGCUGACUGAUGGACACAGAAAUUCCCAUGUGGUCUUCAAUUCUUUUUUUAUUUUUUAAGAAAACUCAGUGAUGUCCCUGUCCCAGUGUCAUAUGAACUCUUGGAAAAGAUAGCACAGCUUUUUAAUUUGACAGCAUGAGCCACUUAUCUGCACAGUAAUAAAAAUCCAGGCCAUAUCCUUCAGAAAUGAUAUCUUAGUUCAUCAUUCAAGCAAUAAAAAAAGACCAGAAUAAUUUUAGCGUCCGUUUAAGCUUUCGUGUAAUCUUUGACCCGGGGCCGAAGCCAUAUUCAGCAGCCUGACAGUAGAAGCUGAGCGUGCCAGCCACUCGAGAUUGAUGGGCUCGGAGCCGGCAGGGCGGUGGGCAGAAGGCCCUGACUCCGCUGCUCGCCUGUCUCCUGUAUCUUUCAAAGAAAUGACAACCUGAGUGUUGCGCUGUCCUAAGGACGUGAUUGAAAUUUCUCCCAUAAACCAAAAGGAACAAGAAGUGUUUGCCCUUGGAUCAAAACGGGGCUUCCUAGUUUGCCCAAACAGAAAGCAGGACCAUGAAGCCAAACCAAAGCUCAAUCUGGUUUCCAGUGAUGCUCUUAUGUCUCUGGGGGUUCUGUGGUCCAUGGGCUCCCUGUCUUCCCAGGAUGUCUUUUUUUCUGUGGAUGACUCUCCCUGUGCCCUCUCUUCUCAGCUUCUGCUCCUCCUUUGUCUAGUAGAACUCUGGUCUCCGUUCAUUCAUUUCUUUGCUUACAUUUAUCCCCUCAUCUGCAGUCUCCCAGACCGACGUGAGGGCAGCACCUUGUUGAAGAGUCUACACACAUCUUUGAUAGGGCUGGACAUACAGUAAAUUCUUGUUGUUGUUUAAAUCUAGAUGUCUUACUUAUAUAGGUAAUCAUCUUGUUCAGUGGGAAUUUGAGAUGACUUAUAGAAAUAUAUAAAGGGUUCCCUGGUUGCUCAGUGGUUAUAGAAUCUGCCUGCCAAUGCAGGAGAUGCAGGCUCGAUCCCUGGAUUAGGGAGAUCCCCUGGAGAAGGAAAUAGCAACCCACUCCAGUUUUCUUGCCUGGGAAAUUCCAGUCCCUGGGGUUGCAGAGAGUCAGACAUGACUCAGUAACUAAGCAGCAACAGAGAAACGCACAGAGUUCAGCAGGAUGCUUUUGAUGGGGACAUUGUGGAGGCAGAUUGGAAACACAGGUCUUUAUCCCAAGUAGGACUCUUCCACGAGCGUCCUCUCACGAUCCAGCAAAGCCUCCGAUCCCCUGAGGCCAGUGUCCACCUGAGCACUGCCCUCCCUGAGUCCACCCUUGGUGGGAAGGCGGCUCACCCCGCACCCCCUAAUGCUUGGCCAAAGCCCCGUGGACGUGCAGCCCCGGCCGCUCUCUGCAGUGGCUGCUUUGAGAUAGAAUGUUCACUAUCAUUUAAUCGGUUCGGUUUCCAAGAUGUUCCAAAAAUGUUCAAGAAUUUUUUUUCUUCUUCAGUACUGUGUCUGCAAUUAAGGGGAAAAAAAAAAAUCUAACAAGUGAACAGUGAUAGCUGGCAGGCCAAAUCUUCUUGCCUUUCCUUUUCAUGUAGUUACUUCAGUCACAAAGAUCAAAGUACACUUUUCUAAUUCAACUUUGCCCUGGUUUUAAUUUCUCUCGUUAUAGCAGGAAAAGUGGAGCACAUUCAGAAAGGAGAUAGCCACCUACUACUCCAACUUGUAAAGUAUAAUUUUUUGAACUUUUAGCUUCUGAGAUUUUUACCAGUUGUAACAAUAGAGACUUGAAUUGUAUUUUGUUCAUUGAAGUUAUUAUGCAGUAAUUCUAAUAUCUGCAUGAUAUUCUUUCCAUAAUGUACCAUGAUCACUCUAUUAGUUAGCACUCAAUUUGCUUCCAAUUUUUCAUCGUUAUAGAUACUGCAGUGAGCAACUGUGAGCAUCCGGUUUUUCUUAUAGUUCGGAUUAUUUCCUUAAGAUAGAUUCCCAGAAAUAAGAGUACGGGCCAAAGGGCUUUAAUAUUUUUAUGAUUCCUUAUAGAUAGUGCCAAGUAACUUUCCACAGGCUUGGACAGCUUUUCAAAGCCACCAUUAAUACAGGAGGUAGUCAACCACAUAGCUACCUGCCAACUCUGGAAUUGCAUUAAAUCUGUAAAUUAACAAUGGGGUAAAAUAUUACUAAAUUCAGACUGGUGAUGAAGUAGUCUGUGUAUUGCUAUAUUGGUUGCUGUGCAGUUUUUGUUUCUUUGUGUGUAUAUAUAUAUGCAUAAGUGGUAUAUAUCUAUCUACAUACAACUGGAUGUAGUAAACGAGACUCUGAUUUGGAGCACGAGCGUCCAGAGUGUCCCCCCAGGAGCCUGGCUACCCAUCCUGGAAUGGGGGGCGCAGGUACAGGUCUGUCCCCUGAGCCUCCCACCUCGGGAAUCCUGUACCUCUUGGCUGUGCACACAGCAACCAAGCCAGCCCAGCAGGCGACACCCUGGAACUCAGCGCGGAGUGGGGAGGUCGAUCGGGUUGGAGCCCAGUUACCUGGCAGGUCUCCCAGGUAACUCUCACUGAAGGGCUUCCCCGAAUCACUCCCCAGAGGUCCCCUGAGAUCUGGCAUCGGUGGCUCCGGUACCCCUGUUUUGGAGCGUGGAGGACCCUGGAGCAUGGUGGCAUUGCCGAGAGACCCCAGAGGUCCCCACCUUUGGCCUGGGCUGUCCCCGUAAGUCUGAGCUGUGGAGACCAACUCCAGGAGGCUCGGGUGCUGAGUCACAGCCUGCCCUUGGGCACUGUCCACCACAGGCCUGUGUGGACAGGUUCGGCCCUGCCCAGCGGGCGUCUUCCAGCUCCAGCAACCCUGCACUGGGCUUCUGAUACAGAGCCUGGAGAGGUCCUCCCAGUGACCUCUGCUGGGCCCUGCCAGUGGCCAUUCUGGGCUCUGGCCUCCCCAGGAACUACCGUGCCAUCCGUAGUCCUGCGGGCAUUGCAGGUUCCCCAAUAUUAUGAGAUACACCUUUGGGCAAAUGGGCAUCUUUAUUUGGAGCAGGCUGGACCCUGGCAGUGCAGUGUCCAGGAGCCCCUGCCUGCCAGCUGGCCUCUCCCGGCCAGGCCAGGCCCAGACUCGGGCAGUUCCCAGGGGGACAGUGCACUCUUGUUCAUCCCUGGGAACCCCUGCCCCAGGGCCCACGGUCUCCUUCCCCAGCUUACAUAUAACCAGAUGCUCGCAUCAGAGAGUCCCUGGGGCCACGUGCCCCUCCAAUCUCCUUGCCUUCUAUGUGUUCCCUGACUCUCCUCCUGCUGUCUCCGCCAAGUACGCCCUCCCCGGCAACAAAUAAAACCCGGAAACCCAGCGGCAGAGGUGAGAUUGCUAGGGGAUGAUUGGCUGGCGCACACGAGUCUCCUUUAGGUCACACCCGCCUGGAAUCAGAUGGGAGGGGGUGUCAGAUUCGCAGCGUCGGCUGGCUGUUGCAAGCUUAUGGCGUGUCCUCAGGGAGGCGUCCCAUAGACCUGACGAGGAUCUGGGUCUCCCUGAUGUGUGUACAUGGCCCACGGGUGCUUGUGGACGGAUUAAGGUGAAUGUGCUUCCUCGAGCCAUGCACUAAACCGUGCUCUGUUGGCUGCUCUGGACCUAACACUGCACUGGGGAGAGGAAGUCGUUACCUAGACCUGAAGGGGGCGCUCUCCGACCACAGGCUUCUUCCCUCGCUUCCUGCAGGGCCCCCAGGUGAUGCAGGAAGCUUUGGGCAGGGAGUGAUGCAAAAUGUUUCUGCCCCCAAGAGUGCUGGUUAUUAAGCUUGGGGGCACCCUGAGAUUAGAGGAGCCACUGGGAGAACAACACAAGCAACAUGAAGCCAGAAAAAUAAGAGAAAUCAUCUUACAAUGAUGAAGAUAACAGCCAAAAUGCUGGUUCUCGUUUAGUUUUUACCAUAUAAUGUGCUGUGUUGAAAAUAUAUCACCUAACUUCAUCCUGCCAACCGCUCUGUCAAAUCAUUACUCUCAUUUUACAGAUGAGCACCCCGGCCUCAGACGGGUAAGUGAUCUGCCUGGGGUCAGC